rnacentral:rRNA from 1 species
GACGAACGCUGGCGGCGUGCUUAACACAUGCCAGUCGAACGGAAAGGCCUGCUUUCCCUUGUGGAUUGCGGGUACUCGAGUGGCGAACGGGUGAGUAACACGUGAGUGAUCUGCCCCCAACUUGGGUAUAAGCCUGGGAAACUGGGUCUAAUUCCCGAUAGGACUGCAGGGUGGUGCCUGUGGUGGAAAACGAUUUUCUAGUGGUUGGGGAUGAGCUCGCGGCCUAUCAGCUUGUUGGUGGGGUAAUGGCCUACCAAGGCGGCGACGGGUAGCCGGCCUGGGAGGGGGGACGGCCACAUUGGGACUGAGAUACGGCCCAGACUCCUACGGGAGGCAGCAGUGGGGAAUAUUGCACAAUGGGCGGAAGCCUGAUGCAGCGACGCCGCGUGGGGGAUGACGGCCUUCGGGUUGUAAACUCCUUUCGACCGCGAGGAAGCCACCUGGUUGGAAGGGUGGUGACGGUAGUGGUAGAAGAAGCACCGGCUAACUACGUG